GAGAGCGGCGUACGGGUGCGUAACACGUGUGCAACCUGCCUUUAUCUGGGGGAUAGCCUUUCGAAAGGAAGAUUAAUACCCCAUAAUAUGGUGUCCGGCAUCGGUCGCCAUUGAAAGCCUCGGCGGAUAGAGAUGGGCACGCGCAAGAUUAGAUAGUUGGCGGGGUAACGGCCCACCAAGUCGAUGAUCUUUAGGGGUCCUGAGAGGGAGAUCCCCCACACUGGUACUGAGACACGGACCAGACUCCUACGGGAGGCAGCAGUGAGGAAUAUUGGACAAUGGGUGGAAGCCUGAUCCAGCCAUCCCGCGUGAAGGAUGACGGUCCUAUGGAUUGUAAACUUCUUUUGUACAGGGAUAAACCUGCCCUCGUGAGGGCAGCUGAAGGUACUGUACGAAUAAGCACCGGCUAACUCCGUGCCAGCAGCCGCGGUAAUACGGAGGGUGCGAGCGUUAUCCGGAUUUAUUGGGUUUAAAGGGUCCGUAGGCGGGCCUGUAAGUCAGUGGUGAAAUCUCAUAGCUUAACUAUGAAACUGCCAUUGAUACUGCAGGCCUUGAGUAAAUUUGAAGUGGCUGGAAUAAGUAGUGUAGCGGUGAAAUGCAUAGAUAUUACUUAGAACACCGAUUGCGAAGGCAGGUCACUAAGAUUUAACUGACGCUGAUGGACGAAAGCGUGGGGAGCGAACAGGAUUAGAUACCCUGGUAGUCCACGCCGUAAACGAUGCUAACUCGUUUUUGGAUCUUCGGGUUCAGAGACCAAGCGAAAGUGAUAAGUUAGCCACCUGGGGAGUACGUCCGCAAGGAUGAAACUCAAAGGAAUUGACGGGGGCCCGCACAAGCGGUGGAUUAUGUGGUUUAAUUCGAUGAUACGCGAGGAACCUUACCAAGACUUAAAUGGGAAUUGACAGAUUUAGAAAUAGAUCCUCCUUCGGGCAAUUUUCAAGGUGCUGCAUGGUUGUCGUCAGCUCGUGCCGUGAGGUGUUAGGUUAAGUCCUGCAACGAGCGCAACCCCUGCCAACAGUUGCCAUCAUUCAGUUGGGGACUCUGUUGGGACUGCCUACGCAAGUAGAGAGGAAGGUGGGGAUGACGUCAAAUCAUCACGGCCCUUACGUCUUGGGCCACACACGUAAUACAAUGGCCGGUACAGAGGGCAGCUACCUGGUGACAGGAUGCGAAUCUCGAAAGCCGGUCUCAGUUCGGAUUGGAGUCUGCAACUCGACUCUAUGAAGCUGGAAUCGCUAGUAAUCGCGCAUCAGCCAUGGCGCGGUGAAUACGUUCCCGGGCCUUGUACACACCGCCCGUCAAGCCAUGGAAGUCUGGGGUACCUGAAGUCGG
rnacentral:rRNA from 1 species